GGCCGGUGCUGUUCUUGGCUCUUGAGUCGGUUCAGCGCUUGGCCAUCCGUAUGGGAAGCCAGCUCGGCCUUCAGUGGUCGGCUGGUGGACCAUACACUUUACUUUGAAAAAAUUAGAGUGUUUCAGGCAGGCAAUUGCUUGGAUACUACAGCAUGGAAUAAUGGAAUAGGACUUUGACCUAUUUGUUGGUUUCUUCGAGGUCAAAGUA
rnacentral:rRNA from 1 species